AGAGCUUCCUGUAAGCGAACCCGUGAAGGUUCCAGGAGGAUGGCGCACCCGGAAAGGGCGUGGAAGCUCCGCGCCCCUUCCCACAGACUUUCCCCCAUCCAUCUCUUCAUCUGGUGUUCAUCGAUAGCCUUUGUAAUGUCCUUAAUAGUAAACCGGAAAACCCUUGAGAUACUCCAAGCAGACUUACCUCUGUGUUGUACACCCCAUAUAUCAGGAAGAUGAAGAGACCCUGUAAAAUAAAAUGGAGGGGAAAAGCUGUUAACGCUAAUCAUUUCAGCAGUAGAAAUACCUGAAAUAAACUUUCCUGGGAACAGACAAAAGAAGACACACUUCAUCAAGAUGUACACCUAACAGCAUGGUAAGGAAGCCCCAGAAGGAUGUUUCUAAAGACCAUGAGGGAGUCUGAAACCUGAAAUCAUGCCAAGGACUCUCUGCUUCUCUUUCACUUGGGGUGUCUAUCUGAUGCUGCCACAACCAGUUGAAACGUAUAACAUUAACAAUAAAAAUUAGUUUUUUUGUAACUAAUUUUAU
rnacentral:lncRNA from 1 species